AGAGUUUGAUCCUGGCUCAGGAUGAACGCUAGCUACAGGCUUAACACAUGCAAGUCGAGGGGCAGCAUAAUCGAAGCUUGCUUGAUUGAUGGCGACCGGCGCACGGGUGAGUAACGCGUAUCCAACCUUCCCCUUAGUAGGGCAUAGCCCGGCGAAAGUCGGAUUAAUACCCUAUGUUAUCCGUCGAGGACAUCUGAAGUGGAUUAAAGAUUUAUCGCUAAGGGAUGGGGAUGCGUCUGAUUAGGUUGUUGGCGGGGUAACGGCCCACCAAGCCUACGAUCAGUAGGGGUUCUGAGAGGAAGGUCCCCCACAUUGGUACUGAGACACGGACCAAACUCCUACGGGAGGCAGCAGUGAGGAAUAUUGGUCAAUGGGCGAGAGCCUGAACCAGCCAAGUAGCGUGCAGGAUGACGGCCCUAUGGGUUGUAAACUGCUUUUGCAUGGGAAUAAAGUCGGGGACGUGUCCCCGUUUGUAUGUACCAUGAGAAUAAGGACCGGCUAAUUCCGUGCCAGCCGCGGC
rnacentral:rRNA from 1 species